UACGGAGGAUCCAAGCGUUAUCCGGAUUUAUUGGGCUUAAAGGGUGCGUAGGCGGGCUGAUAAGUCAGAGGUGAAAGCUAGCAGCUUAACUGUUAAAUUGCCUUUGAUACUGUUAUUCUUGAGUAUAGUUGGCGUUGGCGGAAUGUGACAUGUAGCGGUGAAAUGCGUAGAUAUGUCACAGAACACCGAUCGCGAAGGCAGCUAACGAGACUAUCACUGACACUGAUGCACGAAAGCGUGGGGAGCAAACAGG
rnacentral:rRNA from 1 species